UGGUUAAGGGCGCCAGCUCUGAAGUUGGCUGGGUCAGGAUUCACUUCCUGGCUCUUGUUUGGUUCCCAGCCAUGGUGGUUACUCUUUCUGUCAUUCCCAGUGAUGGAGGGGCAGGAAAUGCUGUGUUGGAGGAGGAGGUGAUAGCAGAAGAAGAAGCAGCAUUGGAGCAAUCAGCCCUGUUUGACCGAACCUGAGAAUAAAGACCACCCGUCAUCUAAUUUUUUGAUGCAUUUCAAAGGAAGUUGAAGAUUUAGGGGAUCUAAUGGACAGCAUGGUGAUUACAAGUAACACUGUAUUGUGUACCUGAAAGCUGCUAAGAGGGUAGAUCUUCAAUGUUCUCACCACCAAAAAGGAAAAGGGCUUCCCUGGUGGCGCAGUGGUGGAGGGUCUGCCUGCCAAUGCAGGGGACACGGGUUUGAGCCCUGGUCUGGGAAGAUCCCACAUGCCGCGGAGCAACUAGGCCCAUAAGCCACAACUACUGAGCCUGCGCAUCUGGAGCCUGUGCUCCGUAACAAGGGAGGCCGCAACAGUGAGAGGCCCACGCGCUGCGAUGAAGAGCGGCCCCCGCUCGCCGCAACUAGAGAAAGCCCUCGCACAGAAACGAAGACCCAACACAGCCAAAAAUAAAUAAAUAUUUUAAAAAAUGUGGCUACAAAAAAAAUUAAACACACAACUCACAUCAUAUUUCUAUCAGAUGGCAGGACACUAAAAAGUUAAUAGUGAUUCAUAUGCCUAAGUAUGGUCAGGAAGAGCUUCUUAUUUUCUCUAUUACCUGCUUCCAGAAGGACUGAAUGAGGGUUUUAUUUUGUAACUUUGAAAGUAAAAAAUGAGAUACACGUCAUGAAAUCAUAAGUGAAGGAAAUUGAAAUCAGCUGUCGGAGGUGGUAGGGAUAACCAGCAUUGCCCUCAAGAGCC